rnacentral:tRNA from 1 species
GGUAAGGUAGCCGAGUGUCCAGGCGGUGGGUUGUAGCCCCGAAGACAAAGGUUUAAGUCCUUUUCUUACCA